GAUGAACGCUGGCGGCGUGCCUAAUACAUGCAAGUCGAGCGAACAGACGAGGAGCUUGCUCCUCUGACGUUAGCGGCGGACGGGUGAGUAACACGUGGAUAACCUACCUAUAAGACUGGGAUAACUUCGGGAAACCGGAGCUAAUACCGGAUAAUAUAUUGAACCGCAUGGUUCAAUAGUGAAAGACGGUUUUGCUGUCACUUAUAGAUGGAUCCGCGCCGCAUUAGCUAGUUGGUAAGGUAACGGCUUACCAAGGCAACGAUGCGUAGCCGACCUGAGAGGGUGAUCGGCGACACUGGAACUGAGACACGGUCCAGACUCCUAAGGGAGGCAGCAGUAGGGAAUCUUCCGCAAUGGGCGAAAGCUUGACGGAGCAACGCCGCGUGAGUGAUGAAGGUCUUCGGAUCGUAAAACUCUGUUAUUAGGGAAGAACAAAUGUGUAAGUAACUGUGCACGUCUUGACGGUACCUAAUCAGAAAGCCACGGCUAACUACGUG
rnacentral:rRNA from 1 species